CACGUGAUCCAAACACCACCGCGAAUCCUUUGAGUUCAUGUAGGAGAAUCAGACAACAAGAGAAUGAAAGCUCAGUUUAAACCUUUAUAAAUAAUGAGACCUGGGACAGGCGACACAACAGGCCUGUAUCCCCUUCGAUAGUUUCUACAAAAAAGAAGAAGAAUCUGACGGUCGCUGGAUGAUCGCGAGGGAGCCUAAUCGGUCGCUAUGGAAACUGGGCUAACAAAACUUGUCCAGUCUUUGUGAAACAUUAAUGAACAUGCUGUUAAUGUAAAACUGCUUUUUAGCAUAUAUAUUAACCAUUUGAGUUAAUAUGUGACUUAAGUUCUUUGCAUUUUAUCAGAUUUGGUCUACAUUGUAAUUUUAACAAUAACAGUAAAAUACACUAAGUUACUGGCAGUUAACGUUAAGUUUAAACAGUAGAGAUGGUUUAGGAUUAGCAUCGUAUUCGCUGGCCUCAGAUAAUCCUAAUAUCCCAUGAGAAUAAAAUGAAAAGAGGGGGUAAUUUGCCCAAACGGUCACCAACAGCGGGAUCCAAAUGUUCCAAGAGCCUCGAGAACAAACCGGUGUCCCCGAACCCCAUCUCAUGUUCGGAGACUGAGGAUGGAGGUCGAGAAGAUCUCAGUGAUGAAGACAAAAGACAAUGUAAGGGGACGAGAUACAUCACAGAAGACCUGAUCAGGAGGUUGACUAAAUGUGAAAAUUUAGUCCUUGUGCAGACCCUGAAUUUGUCUACAUCAGUGGCAAGUGACAAACAAUUUAGGUAUAUUGAAAAUUUGGAUAAAUGUGAGCGCUUGCAGGUUCUCAACCUCAGUAACAACAGGAUUGAGAGAAUUGAAAAACUAGAGAAACUGUGUCAACUACGGGAACUCCACCUUUCCAGUAACAGGAUACAAAAAAUUGAAGGUUUAGAGCACAUGACAAAUCUUCAGGUUAUGAAUUUGGCCUUCAACAACAUUGAACAUCUUCCAGUUUGGAUGGCAAAGAAGCUCAGAUCUCUUCAUACUAUAAAUCUACAGAGCAACAAGAUAUUCUCACUUCAUGAGAUAACUAAACUGAAGCCCCUGAAGAACCUGACCUGCCUGACAUUAGCAGAAAACCCCAUCUUCAGCCUGCCCCAUUAUCACCUCUUCCUAAUCUUCCAUCUGAGGUCACUGGAAAUAUUGGAUGGACAACCAAUCAGUCCACAGGAAAGAGAGCGAGCACAUCAGCGCUUUCACAUGGAGGAAGUGGAGCGUUUGGAGCAAGAGCUGGAGUUGAGAGCUGACGAGAUUGCACAGCUUCAGAGAGAGCGGACCACAGCACUGGAAGAACUACAGCGGCAGGAAACGCUCAAUCAGAACCUGAGGCAACAGCAUCAGGAGCAACAGCGGAGCCGUGAGGAACUCCGGAGAGAACUGGACACCAAAUCUGAUCUGAUGAAGCAGACAACAGUGGAGUUGACCCGGGCCUGUCAGAAACACUAUGAGCUUGAGCAGGAGUUGGCUUUCCACAAAAUUGAUGCCAAGUUUGAACCUCUUCGAUUUUAUCCAGAUCCUGAGGUGGAGGUAGAGAACCUUUCUAGUGAGAGUAAGGAAAGUCCAUACAUAGGAAAGUCUCGUCAGAAAAGGAGCAUCCCAGUGCCGUUGGGGACGGAUAGCAUGGGUGCACAAGACCAACGUAAGGCCUCCUCAGCAGACCUGACUGAGACAGACGGCCCAGGAGAACAUGACAUGUCCAGACAUGCUCAGCUUAGAGCUGAGGCACGAUUACAGCAGUUACAUGAAGAAAUCGAGGCAAAAGAACAGCAGAUCCUUAAAGCCAGUGAAGAGCUCCGGCAGCUAGAGGAGACAGUUUCUGAGAGACGGAUCUGUGAGGCUGAGAAGGAGCAGCUCAGGCAGGAGCUUGAGAGGAGGAUACAGAGGCUGGGAGAGAUGAGAGGAGAGAUGGAGGCUAUGGAGAGGCAGCUGGACAGGCUGAAUACUGAGAGGAUUCAAGCCCAGGAUGAAAUGGACCAGCUACAAAAUCUACUGCACAGCCUGGAUCCCAGUGACCCUAGACAUGCCCAUGUCAAGGCUCAGUUGUCCAAGAAGACGCAGCUGCUGGCCAUCAUGAGCAGAAAGCACCAGGAACUGGAGAGCAGGCUGGAUGACAUGAUCACACGCAUCCACAAGGAGACACAGGAGAUCAAAGAAUUAGAGCAACAACUUACUGAUGGUCAGAUCGCUGCUAAUGAAGCACUCAAGCGUGACCUGGAGGGCAUCAUCUCAGGUCUCCAGGAGUAUCUGCAGGGCGUGAAGGACCAAGCACGGAGAGCCCAGUUAGACUGCAGACGUCUGCAGCUAGAGAAAGAUGCUCUGCAACGCUUCCUGUGUGAGAAGGAGCUGCAGUGCACACAGCUGGAGAAAGAAGCUCUCGGUGCUAAAAGCGCACAGGAGGAGCUUCAGUGUCAGCAGCAGGUGUUGGAGGAUCUGAGGAAGGAGAAUGAAGAGCUGAAGCAGGCUCAGGGGCAGGUCAGUGAAUAUGAAGCAGAGCUGGAGACGCAGCUGCAGGAGAGAGACUCUGAGGCCACACAACUGAAGGAGGAGCUGGGCAGACUGCGUCGACUCAGUCAAAUGGAGCACUCUGCACUGCAGGCGGAGUUGCAGAAAGAAAGACAGGCAAAAGAGAAUGCUUUGGCACAGAUGCAGAUGGCUGCCGACAGAGAGCUUGAGAACACAGAGCUUCUGCAACAGGUCAACGCUCUUCAGGAGGAAAGAAACAGUCUUAAGGAGAAAGUGGAUGCUCUUCAGGAUGAUUUGGAACAGGUUAGAGAGGAGCUUCUUUGCCCAGAAAGUGUGACUAAAUAUUUAGGAGAGCUGAGAAGAGGCAUAGCUACAGGACAAGAGGAAUUAAGCUUUGAAGACCUUGGGGAACCAGUGAACAAGAAAUUAAUGGAGCUACAACAGGAGGUGCAUCGUGUGGUAUCUGCUGCUCGGAGAGAUCGAGACGAGGCCCAGCGCUGUCAGGACAGACUUGCUGGAGAGAUGAGUUCGCUCAAAGAGAGACUCAGGAAGUGCCAAGAAAGAUACCAGGCUCAGCAGGCAGCAGAGAGACAGGAUGAGGAGGCGGAGCUCAAUAGAUUGAGGAAAGAGCUGGAAGAUGCUCAAGAGCAGCAGUACUUGAUGCUGCAGCGUUUAGAGGAGACAGAAAUGGACAGGGAUCGUCUUCUUGCUGAAUUAGAAGGACAAGAUAAACAGGUGAAAGAUGAGGAGAGUCAGACUCAGGAGCAGCUAGAAUCUCUCAGUCUGGAGUUGCAGGCGCUCAGGAGAUCAUUUUCCUCUGCUGACAGAAUGGCUGCCCAACAAUUGAUGGCAGCGAAGGACAAACUUCACUCUCUUCAUAGCACUAUAGAGAAAAUACAUCAGGAGAGAGCAGCGAAUUCAGAGGAGUUACAGAGUACCAAGAUUCAGGCUGCGCAGGCCAUUCAGGACUUGACUAAUGCUGAAGCAGAAAUUGAUGUUCUCCAGAAGCUUUUGAGAGACAGGGUCCAUGAGACAAACAGUGUCCCAAUCUCGAGUAUUCAACAGCAAGAAUUGGACAGAUUAAACCAAACCCUGAAAAGACAACAGGCCCAAACCAAACGUCUCAGAGAUCAACUAGCACAAGCCAAAGCAGCUAACAACGGAGAUCUAGAAGAGCUGCUGGAAGAGAUUGGAACCCUGAAGGAGACUCUCCUACAGCAGAAUAACUUCCUGUCCAGUUUAGGAGAUCCUCCACCAAACACAGGAUGUUGGCACUAUGUACCAUCCAAUCAAAAUGCCCCUAGUUUUGGAUCUCAGGGCACACAAGACUCAGGACUGGGCUCUGUGCACCCACAGUCCCCUGAGAGAGGCCAGAGGUCCGGCCACAGAGCACACAGAGAGAGAAGACCUCCUGUUAAUAGAGGAUACUGGGUCUAUUCACCCCAUCCAAACCCUCAUGGAAAGAGAGAAUCACAGAUGUUCAGAGACAGUGGAAAAGAGAGCGAUGUAGAGGGCGUGUCUGGAACACGCUUCACGCCUCCAUCAGUCUCUGCUGGAUUUACUCUACCUGAUGGUACUGCUUUUCCUCCUGGAUCAUUUAUCUACAAUCACCCUGUGCCUGGCCUUCCUAUUGGCUCAAGUACAGUCCUCUAUGGGCCGGCCCCUGAUGGAGCCAGGCUGGUGUAUGGACCUCCUCCCAGCAAUCUUACCAUUCCUCUGGUGCCCAGUGGAAUGCUGCACUGUAACGUUCCUGGACAUCAGGACUUGGAGCGAGAUCUGAAGAAGGCAGAGCGCAGGCUGAGAGAGGAGUGUGCUGAUAGAGCUCACAGUGAGAAAGAACAGCAAGCACUUCAGGACAAAACAACAGACUUACAGCAGGAAAUCAAACAUCUGCGCAGGACUGUCCACACACUGCAGCGCCACGCGAGUGGGCUGGAAAGCUCACAUGCAGAGGAGGAGCAGUGUGUCCUGGGAGAGGUGGAGUGUGUGGAGAAAACCCUGCUGAAGCGCAGAGCAGAGCUCAGAGAGGCUGACAGACUGCUGCUAGAGGCUGAGACAGAGCUCAAAGACACUGGAGCCAAGACCAAAGAGAGCGUGAAGCGCUACAAUGAGGCCAGGAGGCGAGUGGAAGAGACAGAACGAGAGCUGGUGGAGAUUGAACAGAGAGCUCAAGACAGUGCCACACAGCUAGUGCAAACCAAUCAACAGCUCAGGAAUCUUCAAGAGGAGGUCGAGGAGCUGCAGAAAAGAAAAGAGGACCAAGAACACACUCUGCAUGAAGUAGAGCAGGUCCUCGCAUGUCAAGAUGCAAAGUUUCGAGAGCUCAACAGAAAGCUGGAAAGAGCAACUGUCAGACUGGAAACUGCUGAGAAAGAGCUCCGAAAGACCCAGAGCCUGGAGGUGAAGCUCUUGCAGAGCUGCAGAGAGACGGAAGACUGUCUGACACAACGCAAAACAGACCUGGAUGAAGUCAACGCUCAGGUUGUGCUGCAGCAGGAGGAGCUGUCUUUGCUGGACAGGAAGAUGGAGCAGUGGACAAAGGAAGAGGAAGUGAUGAGAGUUAGUGUGGAGAAACACAGGCAGGGCCUGUUGGAUGUGCUCAGACAGGGAGAGGAGGAUGCCCAACUCUUGAGCCAGCGCAUUCAGGAGCUCCAUGUGGAUGUGCAGUCUCUGGCUGUACAGAAGGGAGAGCUGGACUCUCAGCUGUCCGAGAGGAAAACCAGACUGGCACAGUAUAAGAAAGAGCAGCAGAAAGAGGAGGAAAGCCUGCAGAACAUCCAUUCAGCCAUCAAAAAACAUAAAGCAGAGCUGAAGCAUGUGCUGGAAAUGGUCCAGUUGGAGAGUGGGGAAUUAGAGAGUGUGAAGCUUCAGCAUAAGCAGAAACUGGACCAGCUAGAGAAGAGCCAGGAAACUCUGCUGCAGGUGCGUGUGGAACUGCAGUGUGUGCAGCAGGAGCUACAGGAGCAGCGUGCGGAGGCUGAGAGUCAGAUGAACCUGCUGGAGAAAGAGAGAGCAGAGCUGCACACUCUCCAACAGAAGAGUCUCGACCUGCAGCAGCAAACAGACUCAGCAGUCCAAGAGAGGAGCAGUCUGCAGGAACAGUGCAGAAACCUGGAGGCCAGACGGACACACGCUCAGAGGUGUUUGGAAGCAACAGAGGCGAGGGCGAGGGCGGCAGAAACAGAGCUGCUUAGACUACAGACUGAGCUGGACAAACUACAACAGGACCAGAAACACGCACACGACCUGCAUCAGGAGAUCAGCAGAGACACGGCAGCCUUGCAGCAGCAUCAUGAGGAGGAGUUGAGCAGAUUGAAGAAACAGCUGGUGGAAUCCCAAACUCAGUUAGAUGAGAUCAGAGAGGAGGUGACAGCUGCAAGGAGGCAACGGGAAGAGCUUGUGAAGCAACAGAAGGAGCAAAAGGCCGAACUGCAGGAGAAAGAGGAGAAGAUCAGGAGGAGACAACAGAAGCUAGACAGACUGAGUCAACAGCUGCAGGAGCUCAAGGAAGAAGUGGUUAUGAAACAGACCCAGCUUGAAGAACAUGAAAAGCUGGUGAGGGUGCAGCAGCAGCAGAGCACUGAUCUGGAGCUGCAGCACAGUCUGAGGCAGAAGAAGUUGCAGUCCCAGCUGCAGGCAGUAGAGAGCGCUCUGGCCCUCAGGCUGGAGCAGAUGGAGCAGGCCGCAGCUGCAGAAAUGGACCUGCAGAGGGAGCGCAAACAGUGCACUGCACUACAAGAGCAGGUGGAUAAACUAGAGCAGAAGGUGUGUGAGCGGGACUCCAGACUCCAGCAUGCUGUAGAGGAGACCCAUCACCUGCAGGAGGCUCUACUCUCUAGCAGGACAAGCGCCGAGGGACGUCAGGAAGCCCAAAGCUACUACACCCACACAAACAGGCAAAAACUGCAGGGAGUGGAAAAGGAGCGUAUACGGCUCCAAAGGGAUCUGCUGACCGUGGAAAAAGCCGCUCAAGAAACCCAUAAACAAGCCAGAACGCUGCAGGAACAGCUCAGAACCAUUUCCCAAGAGCUGCUCUGCCUCAAAGACAAGCUGCAGAGCCAAGAGGAGGGCAACACUCGGCUGUGUGAGAUCAAGGACAGUGUGCGCUCUGUGAGGUCACAGGUUGACAGUGGGCUGAAGGAGCUGGAGUCCCCCUCUAGUGCCUCCUCAGACACAGACAGCAUGAAAGAGAACCAUUUCGGUGUUAAACUAUCUGUGGGGAACCCGGCAUACAACACCAAGGAUGAACAGUGGCGAGGCGAAGCACUGAGGGAGAGACUGAGGCAGCAGGAGGACCACUUGAAGGUUCAACUGCGCAGACGCAUGUUCUCCCAGCAGGAAGCUCUGAGUCAACGCAGGCUGCAGACUGAAGGCAGCAUUCAGGGCCUGCGCAAGCACGUUGACAAACUGGACCAGCUCCUCAGCAACUCUUCCAAAGACUCCUAUUAUUUGAGUGACUAGGAAGCUCUGCCAAACCAUCAGAAACAAUACUCCCCUGAGCCUCACUGACAUGAGGAAAUAUUUGCAUAUGCAGAAAAGUAUCCAAGCAAGAUAUAUAAACAAGGAACUCAUUUCCAUUAUUUGUCAGAUUACGAAAGCAGGUUGGUUACAGAGGAGUAAAGAUCUUAUCAGAGGAGCAGUUUGAUUAAAUCUGCAUCUAACAGAAAGCACGGAGACCGUUGAGCCAGAUCCACGAGACCGCCUCAGUGACUUCCUGCUUCUGUUAGAGCAGAGGCUGGAUGUGCUUCAUCCUUCUUUAUGCCUGAAAAAUAAGCUGGCAUCAGCACUUUCCAUACACAAAUAAGGAAACUGAAACUUGACUUUCUCAUCUCCAGAUGUCUCAUUAUUGCUCAAAUACAGUGCGACCGAUCGUGUAUGUGGACAAAAACACAGUCAACAGUAUUGUCUUUAUUAACAUAAUUACAAACAAAAGUCACUUAGAGAAGAAACAGAACUGAGCAGAAGAUUAAUUUUUGCAGAUGUCAUUAAGAAGUGAAAAAAGCAAGACAGUAGGAGCAAAUUAAUAAUGGAUUUUUAGUUUACAAAACACAUCUAAGAUCUACCAUAAUACACAAAUUUAAUAGAAAAUCAUAUUUCGAGUGCUCGUUUUUGCCUUUCUAUCUGGAUUGUUGCAAAUGAUGCUGGUUAUCACAUCAGCCCUAAUUUCUUUUUUAAAAUUUCUGUACUAAUCAAAUCUGGGCUUAGUUUCCCCACAGUGAUGUUUCUCAUGCCUAUUUGUUACAUAUUCAUAGAUUUUAAGAUAGUGCCUCCAUUUGAGUUAGGGGAAACCAUGAUGUCUGUAAAAAAGCAGUUGUAUCAUGCAUCAUGCUUAAUAAACCUUUAAGAAACUCAGCUCAGCGCAAAAACA